rnacentral:pre_miRNA from 1 species
UGUGCACUGGUGGGGUCCCUUGGCCUGGCCUGUGUCCUCUUGCAAUCUGGGACCCCUCGAGAGAUGUUGGAGGCCCGGUGCACGGAUUUGCCCGAUCCCUGCAGGCCAGGCCGAGGGACCCCACCAGUGCAUG